rnacentral:Y_RNA from 1 species
GGCUGGUCCAAUGAUAGUGGGUUAUCAGAACGUAUAAACAUUAGUGCCACUAAAGUUGGUACACAGCACCCCACUGCUAAAUAUGACUGGCUUAAA